CUUUCCUUUUUGAAUUUUCCUUGGAGUUAAGUAUUUUUGUGUUUUUACUUUUUAAAUAUGUUUCUAUUAGGAUUUCAUGGUCUUUGUAGUUCAGAAUGUUUGUAAUUUUUUAUUCUUUACCAAAUAAGAUCAUUCUGUAUAGGGGAUUGACCCAAUUUAAGGAGGCUCAAGGGUACAAAAUCUUUUAAAAUGUUUUUAUCAUUGAAUAAGCUUCAAAUUAUCUCCCUUUGGUGAAAAAAAUGCCAUUUUUUGCAUUAGAAUUGAAAUAUCUUUUUUAAAUCAUCGGUAACCUUUUUUGUAAAUAUUUUUUUUAAAUAAACUGUACUUAACGAAACAAUUGUAAAAUAUGCAAUUUCUGUAAUUUUGUUCUGUUUCUAUUUCGAUAUUACCUUUUUUUCUCCUAUUAGUUCAACAGAAAAAAAUUACCUUUACAAAAAUGCAUGCUUCUUUCAAAGGCUGAUUGUGAGCUUAAAUGAAUGGUGAUCCCAUACUUUUAGUUUAUUUUUUUCUAUUAUGUAUACAUGUAGGAUAAAGUUUAUUUAUAGAAAAAAAAAGUGAAAUCCUAUAUUUAAACAAAAAAUGAUUUAUACCCUCGAGCUCCUUUAAAACAAAAAAAUUCUUUUGUAUAUGGGAAUGUACAUUGUAUAGUAGUUUUCAUUACACAUUUGAUUGAUUUAACAUGUACAUACUUACUUACAUAAUCCUCUUUGUGCACAUUUGCACAUGAGGCCACCAAAACAUGGACAUAGUUUGAUAUUAUUUUAAAAGAAAUUUAUUGUUUUUUAAACGUUUUUACUGCUUUUUUCAUAUGACAAGUAAGGGAUGUGAUUUGAAAACUUUAGAUGAUCAUGAUGAUACAAUGUGAUAUGUAAGACAGGUAAAGAUUUUCUUUAGAGAACUCAAUUGAAGUGGCCAAUCUCAAUCUUUUAUUCACACAGUGGUCACUUAGGUUUUGUUUGUCACACUAACAGUCAUUACAAUAUAUAGAUAUUCCUCUUUGUUGACAUUUAAACUAAAUGUGUUCUCAAUUUAAUGCAUUUUCCAAUCAUCAGUUUUAAUAAAUAUUGAUAAUACAUGUAUCUGCAAUCUGCAGUAUCAAAAACAAAACACAAUUAAUGCAGUUGUAAAAAUAUCUGAAAUCAAAAGGAGUUAAAUUAGUUACAGAUUAGUUUAAAAACACCAUAGAUUGAUAGGCAGGUCACCAUGGUCACAUGAUAGACAGGUCUCCAUGGUCACAUGAUAGGCAGGUCUCCAUGGUCACAUGAUAGGCAGGUCUCUAAGGUCACGUGAUAGGCAGGUCUCCAUGGUCACAUGAUAGGCAGGUCUCUAUGGUCACAUGAUAGGCAGGUCUCUAUGGUCACAUGAUAGGCAGGUCUCCAUGGUCACAUGAUAGGCAGGUCACCAUGGUCACAAAAUAGUCUCCAUUGUCAAAUAAAUCUUUUGGAUACUAGAUUUUUUGUAGUUUUGAAGACAACUGUCCUCUGCUAAAAAUUGGUUUAAUCUCAGUUUAGAUAAGAUAUGUAUUUGUUUUGAUUUUAAGGUGUUUUUUCCUUUGAAUUUCAUCAAAAAUGUGUUGUUAUGAAAUCCUAAUCUAUCAGUGAUCAUCAGUGGUUGUAGUUUAUUGCUGCCUAUCAUUUUUUUUUUGCAUAUGUCAUUUCAGGGCCAUUUAUUACGUGUUAUGUGGUUUGGAUUUUUCUCAUUGUUGAAGCCAUUCACUUACCUUUUGUUGCUAAACUUCUGAGUGAUUUUUAUAUCAGAAAACAAGUGAUUCUUACAUAAAUCAAUUUGAAAUUCAGGGAGGAAGAAAUGAAAUCUGUGAUAUUUGUUAUAAUUUUUUUAAAAUUUGAUUCUUAGAUAUAUACAUGUAUCUAGUUCCUUUGUAAUCCAUACCAAGUUUUUGAUGGUUUUAAUUAUCAGAUUUCAUAAAACAUAUGUUUAACUCGUGAAUCUUUCAGAAAUUAUUAGGGAUAAGAAACAAUUGUAAACGGUCACUUAAUUUAACCAUUUAGCUAAGUUGAUAGUUUACAGAUUUUUUAGUUGAAAAAUUUGAGUUUUAAUUAGAGAAAUAUAUAUUACAAGACAUAAAUAUGUAUAGAACUAGUAUGUACUAAGUAAUUUAUUACAAUACUUGUGAUUUUUUUUUGGUCAUCAUUCCUUUAAAUUUAGAUUGACCAUAAAAUUAUUGUAAUGGCCAGAAUGAACAGUAAGUGCAAGGUUUGCAACCAAACUCUCACAAUAACUUUAGAUUUUAUAACUUAUAAUGCACAUAGGUACUUGGGGACAGGACACAUUGUUUUGCCCUCCCCCUUUUUCCUUAAGCUAUUUGUUUGUUUUCCAUUAAUUUCAAUUAUUUUUGUGUUUUACAGUACAAUAUGAAUAUAAAUAUAUACUUGAAAUAAUUUGUAUUUGCUAUUUACUAUCAAUUCCAUGUUUACUAUCCACAGCGGUCACUGAUACAUAUUAUAAGGCUAUUUAUAUAACAUAUCAAUGACCGCUGUGGAUAGUAAACUUGGAAUUAAUAGUAAAUAGCAAAUACCUUAUUUUGGAAAAAAAGGGGGAGAGAAAAAAAAAUUGUCCUGUCCCCAAGUACCUAUGAUAAUGUAAAGUGUAUGAUGAAGUGAGAUAAUGGUUAAUGUCUGAAUGCCAAUCUGGUUGGUUAAAUGAUAUUGAUGAAUACCGGUACAUGUAGUUUCUGGAUAUCAUCUAAUUAAAAUUAGUUGGGAUGGGAGGGAAGUUGAAGACUGUUGCCCAAGCAUCAAUGCUUGAUUUUGGGGAAAUUCUUUAUCCUAUCAUUGACAAGUCAUUUGUUGUUUUCAUUGUUAUAAAAUGUUUGAAUUUGUUUGAAGAUUUAUUUUCUAUUAUUUAAAGUUGAUAUUUGGAUAAUAUAUAAACAGAUUUUACGCUAAUUUAUGCACUGUUAUUGUUGAAUUAUGUUUAAUUAAUAAUUAUUUAAAUUAUAGUAUGUUGUUUUAUUUGUCAUAUGUGGCCACAAUAGACAGUUCUUUCUAUUGAAAAUAACUUUGCCUAGAUUUGAAUCAAUACAGCCAUUUUGAGCAAGAUUGCUACAGAGUAGCCAAUGUCCUUCAUUUAUAUUCUUUUUAAGCUCAGUUGGCCUCAAGGUCAUUCUGAGAUAUUGCCAUCACUUAGCGCCCAUCAUUGUCCUCUGUGGUCAUAAACUUUUACAAAAAAAUCUACUCAGAAACUACUGG
rnacentral:lncRNA from 1 species